ensembl:lncRNA
AAAACUUCCACUUUUCCAUCAGUUGUUCUAAAGUGGAGAGAAAGGCAUACGUUUCUGUUCCUAUCUGAAAGAACACCUUUGCUUGAUAAAAAUGUUUAGCAUGAUUUAGUGGUAGGCUCCAACACAAAGCUAUUCUGUCAUUUAAUAAUUUGCUUUCUGUUCAGGUGCAGCAGUAUCUGAGAAGAAGCGAUAGGAUACUCUCCAGUGAGAAACAUCACAGAAGUCUUUGAAAGGAGCUUACCUGCAGAGAAGGGCAGCUGUGUGUAGAUCAUAUUCACAAAUACACUGCCAGAAGGCUGGAUCACAAUGUUCUGCCCACAAGAAAAGACAAUGAUUAUCAAGCGUGUUUAGGAAAGGCUUUCUGUCACAUUUUGGAUACUUUCUUACCAGAAGGGCAUCCUCUUCAUUCCAGAGGAAGAUCAGUCCUAACUUGGCAGAAACUUUCAAAUAGUUGUUGCUUCUCUCUAUCAAGAUUCCCAUGUGGCUGUAGGGCAUCUGAAUCCUGGGAAAAGAUCACCAUAAUUCAGUGGGAGUAGGGACAGAAUAUCCAUUGAGUAUGCAAAUUGAUACCAAUUCUCACUCUUUGAGAAGCUUCAAUACACGAAGAUAAGGAAAUUAGCCAGAGCAAUAACUAAAUACAGACAGCUCAAAUUUGUUAACAUUUGGCUAUUUUGAUUGGUUUUUUUGUCUGCAAUGGAUCAGCCUUGCUUUCCCUGCCUUUCCCUGCUGUUCCUUCUGCUUAUUUCUGAUAAAGGUAAAAUGUUGGUAUGUCUUCAGUUACACUGAUCAAAAAAAAAAGUGCUGGGAUAUUCUGUUUUGCAGGCAGUAUGCUUCAGAAUAUUGCUGAAUAUUCCUUUAAGCCCUUGAUAAUGAAGGGAUAGACUCUUUAGGCUUUCUGUGACAUGACUGCCAUUUGUAAAGCUGUAUCCAAAAUAACCUUUCGUCUAGCUUGCUAAGUAGUUGCCGUAAUACACAGAUCACUGUGAGAUAGCUGUCCAAAUAUUUACCCAAACAUUUGGACAGGUUUCGCACCUUUUGCCAAAGUCAGUGCUACCAUUUCUUUAAGAGUAGGAGGUUCCCAGAUUAGCUUAUUUAAAAUGAGCUCAGGUGCAAUCUGUAGUUGCAGUGUGUUUAACUGCAUUUCUCAGUACAAGUACAGGAAGAAUACAAAAUUCCUUAUUGGGCUCCUAUCUGGUAAAAUUAAUGACAGGUAGAAACUUAUAGGGUGGAAAGGCCUAAUACUUUGGCUGAAUCCAGCUUAUACAAUCAUACAUAGACAACUGUUGGAAUGGGGCUGCAUCUGAGAUAUAGCUCCUCUGAACAAAAUGCACACAAGGAUAAUCUGCAGAAGUUGCAUGUAGCUCGCUGUCAGGCACUCUAAUUUUUGUCGUUGCCUCAGGAAGGACCAGAGCCCUUCAACUGGCUGGGAGCAGUAUCAGAUCAGAUGAAGAACAGGGAUGCUUGCUCAAA